GUUUUUUUUUUUUUUUUUUAUCACAGAUCUUCUGUUACUGCACUAGUACUGAGGCUCCAUGGCUAUUCAAUCAUCGGCGGCCUAAUCUUAGAAGUGCAAAAAUGAAAGGGAUCCGCUUUGCAGCUUAAAAAUAUUUCCAUUUUUUUGCUGCCAGUAAUGCCCUGACAUUGUUGAAACUGAUUCAACACCUUUAUCUUUUGUGGAUGCUGUUUUUCAGAACCACCAAUCGUUCUAUCAGGAGCACUGGAUACAGUACAGUAGUUGAUUGGUUUAUUUAUUGAAUCAUAGAAAAUGUGCUCAUAAUAAGUGUCAAGCAUAGGUUAUCUUACUAUGGAAAAUGGUACAGAGCGCAUUUGUCUCCCAUCAUUCUCCCCCCUUAUUCUUGACUGUUGAGUUCUUGUUUUAGAUUACUAAUACAUAUCAAGAAUCCUAUAUAGUUUGUUCCUAAAAUCAGUUCAAAUUUGUUUAUUUG
rnacentral:misc_RNA from 1 species